rnacentral:rRNA from 1 species
UACGAAGGGGGCUAGCGUUGCUCGGAAUUACUGGGCGUAAAGGGCGCGUAGGCGGACAGCUUAGUCAGAGGUGAAAGCCCAGGGCUCAACCUUGGAAUUGCCUUUGAUACUGGCUAUCUUGAGUUCGGGAGAGGUGAGUGGAAUGCCGAGUGUAGAGGUGGAAUUCGUAGAUAUUCGGCGGAACACCAGUGGCGAAGGCGACUCACUGGCCCGAUACUGACGCUGAGGCGCGAAAGCGUGGGGAGCAAACAGG